GAGGGUAUAGCUCAGUGGUAGAGUGUGUGCUUGGCAUGCAUGAGGUCCUGGGUUCAAUCCCUAGUACCUCCA
rnacentral:tRNA from 1 species